CCGGGACCAUCCGGUAAGGCUAAAUACUCCCGAGAGACCGAUAGCGAACCAGUACUGUGAAGGAAAGGUGAAAAGCACUUCGAAUAGAAGAGUGAAAUAGUCCCUGAAACCAUGCGCCUACAAGCGGUCGGAGCAGCUUAAGCUGUGACGGCGUGCCUUUUGCAUAAUGAACCUACGAGUUACUUUUUCCGGCAAGGUUAAGCAUCUUGAGAUGUGGAUCCGAAGCGAAAGCGAGUCUGAACAGGGCGGAUAGUCGGAAGGAGUAGACGCGAAACCAAGUGAUCUACCCUUGGGCAGGUUGAAGGUUAGGUAACACUAACUGGAGGACCGAACCGAUAAGCGUUGAAAAGCUUCCGGAUGACCUGAGGGUGGGGGUGAAAGGCUAAUCAAACUUGGAGAUAGCUCGUACUCCCCGAAAUGCAUUUAGGUGCAGCCUUGUGGGUUACUGAUGUGAGGUAGAGCGACUGAUAAGAUGCGAGGGCUUCACCGCCUAUCAAGUCUUGACAAACUCCGAAUGCGCAUCAGUUUUACCUCAGGAGUGAGGGCAUGGGUGCUAAGGUCCGUGCCCGAGAGGAGAAGAAUCCGGACCACCUGCUAAGGUCCCGAAAUGACAGCUAAGUUAAACUAACGAAGUCUGACUGCUAAGACAGCUAGGAUGUUGGCUUGGAAGCAGCCAUUCAUUUAAAGAGUGCGUAACAGCUCACUAGUCGAGGAGUUUGGCGUGGAUAAUAAUCGGGCAUAAGUGUUUUACCGAAGCUAUGGGAUACGUAAGUAUCGGUAGGGGAGCAUUCCACUCGGCGUUGAAGGCGAAGCGUGAGCUUUACUGGAGCGUGUGGAAAAGCAAAUGUAGGUAUAAGUAACGAUAAAGGGGGUGAGAAACCCCCUCGCCGCAAGACUAAGGUUUCCUGAUCAACGCUAAUCGGAUCAGGGUUAGUCGGGUCCUAAGGCUCAGCCGAACGGUGAGGCCGAUGGCAGAACAGGUUAAUAUUCCUGUACUACCUGUAGGAGUGACGUGGAGACGGAGGAGUGACAACGCCGCGGACUGACGGAAUAGUCCGUUAAAGGGUGUAGAUGUUGAUUAUCCCAGGCAAAUCCGGGAUAAGAGUCGAACCUGACAGUAUACCAAUUUCCCCGGAAAACGGUAAUAGUGCGUGUAAACAUACUCCCAAGAAAAUCCGCUAAACUUAAUCUUACAGGUACCCGUACCGUAAACGGACACACGUAGUCGGGUUGAAUAUACUCAGGCGCUUGAGUGAAUCACGGUUAAGGAACUAGGCAAAUUGACCCUGUAACUUCGGGAUAAAGGGUCCCUACCCGGUGACGGGAGGGCGCAGAGAAUAGGUCCAGGCAACUGUUUAACAAAAACACAGGGCUGUGCAAAAUUGAAAGAUCACGUAUACAGCCUGACACCUGCCCGGUGCUGGAAGGUUAAGAGGAGAUGUCAUCGCAAGAGAAGCAUUGAAUUGAAGCCCCAGUAAACGGCGGCCGUAACUAUAACGGUCCUAAGGUAGCGAAAUUCCUUGUCGGGUAAGUUCCGACCUGCACGAAUGGCGUA
rnacentral:rRNA from 1 species